rnacentral:tRNA from 2 species
CCUUAGCUCAGCUGGGAGAGCGCCUGCAUGGCAUGCAGGAGGUCAGCGGUUCGAUCCCGCUAGG